AACGAACGCUGGCGGCAGGCUUCAUACAUGCAAGUCGAACGGGUGUAGCAAUACAUCAGUGGCGCACGGGUGCGUAACGCGUGGGAAUAUGCCCUUUGGUACGGGACAACAUCGGGAAACUGAUGCUAAUACCGUAUAAUAUCUGCGGAUCAAAGAUUUAUCGCCAAAGGAUUAGCCCGCGUUGGAUUAGGUAGUUGGUGAGGUAAAGGCUCACCAAGCCGACGAUCCAUAGCUGGUCUGAGAGGAUGAUCAGCCACACUGGGACUGAGACACGGCCCAGACUCCUACGGGAGGCAGCAGUAAGGAAUAUUGGACAAUGGAGGAAACUCUGAUCCAGCCAUGCCGCGUGAGUGAAGAAGGCCUCGGUUGUAAAGCUCUUUUACCCUCGUACGAUAAUGACGGUAAGGGAGAAAAGACACGGC
rnacentral:rRNA from 1 species